rnacentral:lncRNA from 1 species
AGGUCUCCGUGAUUUGAAAUAUUUGUUCCACCUCCUUCCCGCCUUGAGAAUGAGGAGCAGGGAGAGCAGGACGGAGGCGAGCAGGUAGAAGAUGAAGCCGUAGAGGCCGGUGAGGCCGAGGAUGCCGGCCGUGGCCCCCGACAGCGCUGACACCGAGGUCCGGCAAUAAUCCAGGACGGCGGCGUUGCCCCGCACGGCCGCCUCGCUGAUGAACGGCGGCCCUUCCCGCUUGGCCACCACCGCGGCCAUCGCACCAGCCCGGGCUCGGCCUCUCGCUUUCUCGCGGAACAACGCGGAGCUGCGGAGAAAACCAAGUUACAAGUGGCGCCCGGAGCUCGCAAAGAGUUGAAAUUCACAAGCUGCGUCAAGGUGAGAACUUAAUCCUGGGUUUCAGCAUUGGAGGUGGAAUCGACCAGGAUCCUUCCCAGAAUCCCUUCUCUGAAGACAAGACGGACAAGGGUAUUUAUGUCACACGGGUGUCUGAAGGAGGCCCUGCUGAAAUCGCUGGGCUGCAGAUUGGAGACAAGAUCAUGCAGGUGAACGGCUGGGACAUGACCAUGGUCACACACGACCAGGCCCGCAAGCGGCUCACCAAGCGCUCGGAGGAGGUGGUGCGUCUGCUGGUGACGCGGCAGUCGCUGCAGAAGGCCGUGCAGCAGUCCAUGCUGUCCUAGCAGCCACCACCAUCUGCGACUCCUGCCUGCCGCCUCUCUGUACAGUAACGCCACUUCCACACUCUGUCCCCAUCUGGCUUCUGCUGACCGCUGGGCCCCAGCUCAGAAGGGCUAUAGCUGGUCCCAGAGGCCUGGCCUGGCCUUCCUUCCCUUCUCCCAUCCCUGGCCUGGGGCCUCUGGGACCGGCUUUCUCUCCUGGACACCGAGGAUUGGAAAUAAGGGCCUGGAGCUGAGUAGUAGCCAGUCUGCUGUGACCACAGGCUCAGGUCCGACCCUGCUGCUUGGCCACAGCAGUGGCUGGGCAAGUGGGAACCACUAUCUCUUGGGAGCCCCCAAAAGCUGGGAAAUGCUGGAGGAACCAGGCCUUUCCCGCUUUUGCCUGGCUGCAGGGUUCGGCUCCGCCCCUGCCCCCCAGCCCUCGUGUGUCCACACCGCAGUGCCUCUGCCCCUCGGGGGACUGGACACACAUCCUGCCAGAGGCGCUACGAAGCUUUGCCCAGAUGAAGCCAGGUGGGCUCCGCGUUCACUCCCACUCUCCCGAGGGGUGCUGGCCUCCCCAGGGUUUGCCUUCUUACGGAUUUAGACGAGGUUCGAGGCUCACCUAUCAGGGCAGCUCUCAGGAUUGUCAUUUUCCUCUUUGCCUGUGGGUUUAACUUUUGUAUUUUUUUAAUCACAAGUUUGAUACAAAAUGUUUUUAUCGUACUCUUUGGAGAUGCCCAUUCUACUUUUGAAUUUAGCUUUUACUAAUUCGCAUCUGGAAG